UCAUCCUAUGUCUUCCAUUUCUAUCCAAAUGAAACACUGCAUACUGGGACCAUGACUCUUCAUGGGCUGCUUUAUACUGUUGCAGAUGGCCACAGUUUGUGCUGUUGGACUCCCUGCACUCGAUCUGUCAUGAGAGUCCUCUUGCAGUCUGAGUCACUGGGAGUCCCCGAGAGUUUCUGGAUGGAGUUGAAGCCUGGACCUCCUGGCCCUAACGUCAUGCAGCCUUGGUCCACAAGGGACAGGCCGUUGUGUUUCUCACCAUGGUUCACCACAGCCAACACACUGGAGCACCAUCGGUGCAAAAAGAGAUGGGCUGCUCAUCCCUGUAAAGGCCCCCAGCUGUACAUGAAAUUGAUCCAAAAACAUUUAGGGGAAGGGAACCAACACUUUUCUACUGGAAAUGUAUCAAAGGGCAAAAUCCAGCACCUUGUAUCAUCUGGCUUACUAAUGCUACAUGUUCUUUCCAGGUCUUCUGUCAAAAUAGAUGCAGGACAAAAGAGAUUAUUUUUGAUGCUCCUCUGCAUGCUCCAGCUGUGCAGAUAGAGAAGCUCCAGGAGUGGCCAAGGGAACAAAGCGUUGUGCUGUGAAUUGAUUUCUUCGAUGUCUCGUCACAUAUAAGAAUCCUCCCACUGGCUGAAGUGCUGACUUCCUUUCACACCCAGCAGCUGAAACAAGACUUCCCAACACUCACUUUCUUACCAAAUUCAGUUCUUUAAGGGAAUUCCAGUGAUUUCAGCAGUUACACUGGCAUACAACUGAUACAAAGAAGUGAUGAAUCAGACUCUGUAGAAGAAAUCCUAGCCCAUUGAAUUCAGCAGGAAUUCUGCCAUUGACCUCAAGAGAGAAACGUUUUUACUGUAGGAUAGUUCUGAGGAAGACAGUUUCACAAAGCUCGCAGUAAAGAAGAGUGUGUAUCACUUCCUCCCUUGUGACUAAUCCUGCUCCCUUUACUGACUUUGCUCUGAUAUCUGGGAAGCCUCAGAAAACCUAUCUGCCACCAGAACAGUGAGCAAUUCCUAAGGAAACAGAUGAAUCAACAAAGUUAGAACCACUUUCAUCCUUUCUACACAAACGAUAUGUUGUAUUCCCGUCUGAUAGACCUAUGAAGGGAAAGCAGCUCAGGAUGGCCAAUGGUUUCCCUCACCAGUGCAGUCACUAAAGAGAAUCAAGAAUCAGGAAGUCAGACUACACUCUGCAAUUGCUUCUUCAAACCUUAAAAAUCAAGGAGACAUGGAGCGAAUGACUGUAUUGGGUUUGAGUCAAUGGAGAAUUACGUUCUGCUGCAUCUGGAGAGGAUAAGAAUUUGCAGGAAUCGUGGACAAGGCCAGGCCCUGGUGUAUUGGAUGAAGAAAGAAGCCCUUCCUCUGGACAAGAUGUCUACUAGACCCAGCUGAGCAUUGUGAAAGAGUUAGUUCCUCACCUCUCUAAGCAAUUGCCUCUAAGGGUGGGAAUAUAAACUACAGUCUUGAUCACUUUAAUGUAGUGGUCAGCAUAAUUUGUUUUUUUAAGGUACAAACAUUUUAUCUUGUUGCCUGACUUCAGAAAAAGUAACAAAUGAGUAGGUAAAUGCACAGCUGUUUUUCAGGGAAUCAUAGCUCUGAUCUCAUCACUGGCAAAGGCUUGCUGCAGUAAAUCUGCAAAAGUGACUGAAAACCCCUCAGAAUCUGAGCACCAGGGCUUGACUGGGCUUUGGACAUAGAUGUUAAAUGAUUUUCUGCCAGUCUAGCCGACGUGGUCAUCACAAUUUCUUCUGACUGUCUUGACACCUCUUCUUGCUCCUAUGACUUGAAUACAGGUCAGGAGGACUUUCCAAUAUGUGGUAUUACGCCUAAACAGCUUUUCUGGAGCAGCAGUUUUGGAUCAGCAUUCCUGGAUAAUCCCACGAGUGGACAAUUCUGCUGUGCAAUAUUAAUAUCUACAUGUGGAAUUAAACAGAAAUAGUUGCUGUGUUUAGUUUCCUACCUGCAUUUGUGCCAAACUAAUUUUAAAGUGUAAAUGGUCCCUAAGAGAUUACAUAUGCACCCAGAGGAGGAAAUGCAUUCUGCUACUAUAAGGCUGAAUUUGUACAAUUUAUGGAGCAUGUCAUAUAAAUGGAAUGGACAGAAAUCUGUUACUAAAUUGGAAUUGAAGAACAUGAUUGAGUGUAUCAGUGAAUGACUAAGGCCUUUAGACCUUAAAAUUGGUUUGAGUGUUCAUAGCUAUAAGCAUCCAUGAGAUCUCCCAGCAACUGGAUUGUAUAUUUGCAUAUAUAGCCUCUUCCUCUGAGUUAAAAUUUGGAUUUUUUUUUUUCUGAUAUAUAUAAACAUUAUUCUGCCUCUCAGGCUUGACUUAAGUUACUGAAUAAAUUAGGAGUGAAAGACAACUGUGGAAAUUACAGCUAGAAAGGCAACUGAUUUAUUUUUUAAAUGCUUCUGCACAAUUUAAAUUUGAUUUGUGGUAAAUGAGACACUUGAGCAGAUGAAUUUGAAGGAGGCAUAACUUUCUCAGGCUUGCUUAUAUUUUCGGAUAGACUUACUGGAAAAGUUUUAGUUCAUCACUCUUCCAGGAUCUUGAAAUCUGACCAAGAAACCUUCCAAAGUAAUAUGAAGUUCAUGCUAAAACAAUGUUAUCAGAUAGGAAAAGUUAAUGCUACUGUUAUCUACAGGUCAGCUAACGUGUAAGUUCUCACAGAAGUUCUCUAGCAUAAUAGAUUUGCUUCCUUACUAUGGAAAUCAUGCUAUUGCUACUAUUAACAGAAACAAAAUCAGAUUCUGGCUCAACUAUUUCUAUUUAAUAAAGAAAAAAACCUGUUUAGAGCUACAGAAUAAGUAACAGCAUAUCAACUGUAUUGGUUCUUUUCCUCUGUGAACUAUGUCGAAAAAAAAAAAACCCCAACAAAUUAUUCGCUAAGACUAUUUUGUUUUCUUAGUUUGCUUGCUACACUGAAUUUUGCAAUUAUUAUUUAUAUGUCAUAUAGAGCUUCUCUGAAGUAUUUGAGUUG
ensembl:lncRNA